UACGGGGGGAGCAAGCGUUGUUCGGAUUUACUGGGCGUAAAGGGCGCGUAGGCGGCCACCGCAAGUCGACUGUGAAAUCUCCGGGCUUAACCCGGAAAGGUCAGCCGAUACUGCGGGGCUAGAGUGCAGAAGGGGCAACUGGAAUUCUCGGUGUAGCGGUGAAAUGCGUAGAUAUCGGGAAGAACACCGGUGGCGAAGGCGGCUCUCUGGACCGAUACUGACGCUGAGGCGCGAAAGCGUGGGGAGCAAACAGG
rnacentral:rRNA from 1 species